CUGCCCGUAGCUCAGUCGGAUAGAGCAACAGCCUUCUAAGCUGUGGGUCGGGAGUUCGAUCCUCUCCGGGCAGGCCA
rnacentral:tRNA from 2 species